ACGGAAAUAGUAAUUGUGUUAGUUACCCGUUGCUAAGCAUCAAAUUCCGAACGUGUCGUGUGCUGUUGCGGGUCGCGACUAGUAGUGACGACGUUACCAGAGACGGCUCAGAGUCUUUGACGUUGCAGGUGGUGGACGGUUGACGGACUGCACGGAAGGUGUAUCCAGGCUGUUCGUCCCAAGAAGUCUGCAUAGUAUUUUAUUGAGCAUUCCCUGGAUCAAAUGUGCAACUGGAUGGCUGGACUGACCUUUUGGCUUCCUUACCUUUCUCAGGGAAAGAGUCACAACUGCAGAUGCCACAAUACAGCCAUGACGGCUGCAAACCAGAAAUAAAGGACAAAAAGAAAAUCAAACUACAAGGGAUGAGCGCACUAGGAGAGAUGGAGAGGACAUGAAGCAGCAGAGGAGGAGGAGAAAGGAGAGGGCUGAAAAGACCAUGGGUAUUUUAAAGAGUCCCGUCCUGCACUCUGCAUCCUGGACCUGACCUGAAAGCUGGACUCACUUUUGUGCCACAUCUGUUUUUAUUUUAUCUGCAGAAGAGAAUAAUAAAACAGGGCAUCUUAGAGCUGUUA